rnacentral:lncRNA from 1 species
CAUGCCUUGUGUCUCAGAAGCAAUGACGUCUCAACCCCCGUCUCAUAUAAUCCGUCUCUUUCACUCCUUAUAUAGAUAACCCGCUGCCCACGAGCGAGCCACGGAUUUUAAUCAGUAGCACUAGCAUCGAGGAAAUUUGAAGAUUCGAGAAAGCGAAUGAUCAUGACGACACAACUCAAUGAAUCGUCGCACAGACCAAAUACAAACGCUGUUGAGACAAGCAGAAUACUUGAUGACUCG